rnacentral:rRNA from 1 species
GACGAACGCUGGCGGUGUGCUUAACACAUGCAAGUCGAACGGUAAGGCCCUUUCGGGGGUACACGAGUGGCGAACGGGGGAGUAACACGUGAGUAACCUGCCCUCAUCUCUGGGAUAACAGUCGGAAACGGUUGCUAAUACUGGAUAUGAGAUUGCAAGGCAUAUUGUGGGUUGGAAAGAUUUUUUUGGUUGGGGAUGGACUCGCGGCCUAUCAGCUUGUUGGUGAGGUAGUGGCUCACCAAGGCUUCGACGGGUAGCCGGCCUGAGAGGGCGACCGGCCACAUUGGGACUGAGAUACGGCCCAAACUCCUACGGGAGGCAGCAGUGGGGAAUAUUGCACAAUGGACGGAAGUCUGAUGCAGCAACGCCGCGUGCGGGAUGACGGCCUUCGGGUUGUAAACCGCUUUCAAUUGUGACGAAGCUUUUUGUGACGGUAGCAGUAGAAGAAGCACCGGCUAACUACGUG